UCUUAAUCCAACAUCGAGGUCGCAACCCAUUUUGUCGAUAUGAACUCUCAAAAAUGAUUACGCUGUUAUCCCUAAGGUAACUUAAUCUUUUGAUCAUAAAUUAUGGAUCAAAUAAACAUAAAUCAAUGAUUUAAUAAUGAAGAGUUUAAUUAUUCUUCAUGUCACCCCAACCUAACAUUAUAAAAAUUAUAUUUAAAAAUAUAAACUAAAAUAAUAUAAAAUCUUUAAAUGUAAAGCUCUAUAGGGUCUUCUCGUCCUAAAAAAAAAUUUAAGCCUUCUAACUCAAAAGUUAAAUUCUAAAAAUUAUUAAGAGACAUUUUGUUUUCUCGUCAAUCCAUUCAUUCAAGCCCCUAAUUAAGAAACUAAUGAUUAUGCUACCUUUGCACGGU
rnacentral:rRNA from 1 species